rnacentral:rRNA from 2 species
GAUUAAGCCAUGCAUGUGUAAGUAUAAAUAAUUCUACUUUGAAACUGCGAAUGGCUCAUUAUAUCAGUUAUAGUUUAUUAGAAAUAAUGUACUACUUGGAUAACCGUAGUAAUUCUAGGGCUAAUACAUGAGUAAAUCCUCGACUUUGAAGAGGUGUGUUUAUUAGUAUGAAAACCAUAUGCUUUUGCAUGAUAGUGAGUAAUAAUAACCUUUCAUAUCGUAUGUUGAUAUAACGAUAGUUCUUUCAAGUUUCUGCCCUAUCAGCUUUCGAUGGUAGUGCAUUGGACUACCAUG